rnacentral:lncRNA from 1 species
UACUCGCCUGAAAAGUUUUUCGUUACUCGCACGGAUUAUACCCUUUCCUGGUACUCGCCCGGAUUCGACCAUUUUCCGGUACUCACACUGAUUCUACCAUUUUUCGGUACUCGUUCGGACAGUUAUUCGAUACUCGCACGGAUUCUACCUUUACCCGGUAGUCGCCCGGAUUCUAUUAUUUUCCGGUCCUCACACUGAUUCUACCAUUUUUGGAUACUCGCCUGGAAAGUUUGUCGUUACUCGCACGGAUUAUACCCUUUCCCGGUACUCUCCCGGAUUCGACCAUUUUCCGGUACUCACACUGAUUCUACCAUUUUUCGGUACUCGUUCGAACAGUUUUUCGGUACUCGCUCGAAUUCUACCUUUACCCGGUUGUCGCCCGGAUUCUAUUAUUUUCCGGUACUCUCAAUGAUUCUACCAUUUUUCGAUACUCGCCUGAAAGUUUUUUGUUACUCGCACGGAUUAUACCCUUCCCCGGUACUCGCCCGGAUUCGACUAUUUUCCUGUACUCAAACUGAUUCUACCAUUUUUCGGUACUCGUUCGGACAGUUAUUCGAUACUCGCACGGAUUCUACCUUUACCCAGUAGUCGCCGGGAUUCUAUUAUUUUCCAGUCCUCACACUGAUUCUACCAUUUUUUGAUACUCGCCUGGCAAGUUUGUCGUUACUCGCACGGAUUAUACCCUUUCCCCGUACUCUCCCGGAUUCGACCAUUUUCCGGUAGUCACACUGAUUCUACCAUUUUUCGGUACUCGUUCGAACAGUUUUUCGAUACUCGCUCGAAUUCUACCUUUACCCGGUAGUCGCCCGCAUUCUAUUAUUUUCCGAUACACACUGAUUCUACCAUUUUUCGAUACUCGCCUGGAAAGUUUUUCGUUACUCGCAUGGAUUAUACCUUUUCUCGGUACUCUCCCGGAUUCGACCAUUUUCCGGUACUCACACUGAUUCUACCAUUUUUCGGUACUCGUUCGGACAGUUAUUCGAUACUCGCUCGAAUUCUACCUUUACCUGGUAGUCGCCCGGAUUCUAUUAUUUUCCGGUCCUCACACUGAUUCUACCAUUUUUUUAUAUUCGCGUGGAAAGUUUUUCGUUACUCGCACGAAUUAUACCCUUUCCCGGUACUCUCCCGGAUUCGACCAUUUUCCGGAACUCACACUGAUUCUACCAUUUUUCGGUAGUCGUUCGAACAGUUUUUCGAUACUGAUUCUCGUAUGUAAAUCCAGUCGGGUCAUUUAAUCAAAAACAUUUAUAAAACCUAUGACCUCAUACUAGUGUAGCAAAGCUACUAUAGUAUAGUGGCUCUAGGGUCGAACUCUGGGAUGGGUUUUCAUUCUACCAAUGAUAUACUCAUGAUUAGGAUUGAAUUUAAUGAUUUCCUUUAUAAAAACUUAGAGUUUAAAAGAAAAUANNNNNNNNNNNNNNNNNNNNNNNNNNNNNNNNNNNNNNNNNNNNNNNNNNNNNNNNNNNNNNNNNNNNNNNNNNNNNNNNNNNNNNNNNNNNNNNNNNNNAACCACUUUCCAAUGGCUCUUACAUGAUAACUAAUGGACUGAUAUGGAUCUAGCAAUAAGCAUCCACAGAGACCUGAAGCUUACCAUGUAUUGGCCAUUCAAAGUGAUUCUAAGGGAUUUAAAGCAAAACUUUGGAUAUAAAAGCCAUUUAUGAACUUCAACUACCUGUAUUUAAGGCACGAGCGUUUUCCACCUUGCAUCUGGACUUUUCACCUAGCUUCCAUCACUCCAAGAAACCAAAAGUUUAGCCUCUCAUCCUCUGAGAAAACAUCCUCAGAGGUUGUUUGGCUUCCAAGAAAAAGAAAAUAGUAAAGAGAAAAGGGAAAACGAGAGAGCUCUGUAUAUUUUUCUAAAUGUAAAACAUAACACGUGUGAUACCUCCAAGAGGUGAUUUCCACCCCUUAUAUAGUUUUUACAAAAGCAAAGCUUGUGAUUGGCUUGUUACAAGGAGAAGAAAGGAAAUUACAUCAAAAAAUACAAAAGAAAAUAUCUAAAGUGGAGUCGGCAAAAACAGAGGAAAAUUCGCACCACGCAUGGGGUGUGCGAAUUUUCGCACACCUGAGGGGGGUGUGCGAGUUUUGCACACCAUUCGCACACCUAGAGCAGUUGUCUUCUGAAGGCCAUAUCUUCCUCGUUUCAGCUCCAAAUCGUACACGGUUUGAAGCGUUGGAUUCUUGACUUCCUGAGCUUUGAAAUGAUAUAUAGCAUGUAAAAAAUGGACUUCGGAAAGUUCUCCAAAAGUGCCAAAGAAGACUACGGCUGCUUUCCUCUGUUUUCCUCCUUGCUUCUCUUUGCUUCUCUUUGGUUUUCUUUGCUUUUCUCCUUUGGAUGGCUUGUCUUAAUGAUCUAAAAAGAUGUCAAAAACACUAAAACUAGCCACAAAUAUGAUUAGGAGUCAUUGCUAGGUCCUUAACAUGCCAAUUGGAAUAAAGAUGAAGAAUUACUACACAAAAGUGCUUAAAACAUAAUGACUUAAAGGUGUAAAAUAGCACUUUUUGGGUAGUAAUCACUCCCCCCAACUGACACAUUGCUAGUCCCUGAGCAAUGAAGGAGAGAAAAAUAAAGAAAAAUAGAUAAUAAAAUAAUUUACAAAAUCAUGCUGAUCACUCCAAAAAAUAAUCAAGUGGCAUGAUUGGAUCAAACUCUCACAUGGCAAGUCAAGGAUAUAAAACUCAAUCAUCAACAAGAUUUAUCAAAUAACUUACCUAUCACAACUUGCAAAGAGCGGGCAUUAUGCAAAUUUGAGUAUCAAAAUAAUUUCCACUCCCAACGGAUCAAUUCUUAAUCUUCCACAAAAAUCUAAGUGUUAAGGUGCUUAGUUUCCAGUUAUAGUAUGUCAAACUAUAUUCUCCCCCCCAACUAAGGUUUUUCUCUAACUUUAGCAACACUAACUCAUAUAUAAAAGGCUACGAACGCACCUUUUUUUUUUUUUUUUUUUAGGUACUCCACCCAUCCACCCAUGUAACGAGCAGUGAGGUCGGUGACUCCCAACCAGUAAAGGCUUAGGGCACCAGGCUUUAAAGAUUUUCACCAUAUACCCCUCGAACCUUGCUUGGGUUUCAAAGCAAGUGAAGCAAAAAUUAUUCAUAAGACACAUUAGCCUUUUAUAAGGUGUCCCAACACUAAUAGAAUGAAGUCAAUGGCACCAAGUCGAAAAUUUCCUAAGUUUAGGGGGGUGAGAAAGUUUUCCAUCUUAUAACUGGAAUCUAAUGUGUUCAGUGUGUGAAAAGAUUAGAGUGGAAGACUUAAGAUUGAAAUCAAAAGGAUCUUCAACAAUUUCACCAUAUACCCCUCGGACCUUGCUCGGGUUUCAAAGCAAGUGAAGCAAAAAUUAUUCAUAAGACACAUUGGCCUUUUAUAAGGUGUCCCAACACUAAUAGAAUGAAGUCAAUGGCACCAAGUCGAAAAUUUCCUAAGUUUAGGGGGGUGAGAAAGUUUUCCAUCUUAUAACUGGAAUCUAAUGUGUUCAGUGUGUGAAAAGAUUAGAGUGGAAGACUUAAGAUUGAAAUCAAAAGGAUCUUCAACAAUUUAUCAACUUUAAUAAGCAUAAUACAAACUCUGAGACUAUGGCAAUAAGAUAAGAAUUUAAUUUCUCCCAUUUACUUUUGAGAAUUUAUCUUUGAGAAAACAAAGAGAGUUUGCAAAAAAAAUUUGUUAGCAAAAUAACUUAACCAAAAAUUCAACAAAUUACUUCCUCAACUCUCCCCCCAACUAGGAUGAACAUUGUCCCCAAUGUUCCAAAAGCAAGAGAUAAUAAAAGGGAGGAAGUGAUACCUCCUGAUAGUAAGGGAGUCUGAAUGAACAGGAGAAACCACAUGUUGCAUAAGAAAAGAAAAAUCAUAAGAUUGAUGAAUAGAGGAAAUAAAAUGGAAUAGCUAAAAUACACAAAAAAGAAGAUGUCUAUAUAAACUGAGAGAGUACAAUAUAUAAGAUAAACAUGAAAUACAUCCAAUCCCAGUAUAAAAGUGGUCCAAAAUAUGUAAGACAUCCAAAAACGUAGCAUAUAGAUACAAAAAAAAAAAAAAAGGAGAGGAGUGAUCGUAUGAUCAAGUAGUAGGCUCCUCUGGUGGACAGGAGGGGUCCUCCGCUGCAAUUGUGGAAGGAACCGCUACAGGUGGAGCUGGUGGUGAAAGACCGAGGUGGUGCUGAAUCUCACGGAGAAUGAGAGUCUAUUGGUCCUGCUAAAGCUGGAAGUGGUCCAUCCGCUCCAUAAUGGCCGUCUGAGUAGUGGUCAAAGUCUAGAAAGAAGCGAGCAAGGCACGAUACUCUGGACCAGGGAUAGUAAUGGGCGACUCUGAUGUAGGAGGAACAACAGGUGGGGCAUCAGAUGAUGCUGCCUCCGGUACUGGCUGUGGAGGGUCUGAAGUGGACGGAGUAGGAGGGACUUCCCUUGGCUCGGGAAGUUCUGGGGAUUGGCGAUGGAGCCAUAUCUGAGUCCAUUGGUCAAGAGAGAAGCUCUCUCGACAAUGGCGGCGAGGCUCUGAACGAGGGUCUGCAGGAAAACCCAUAUGCGCCAAAACAUGGCAUAGCAGCCGAAGGAAAAGUAAAGGAAUGGAGUCUGCCCUCGCAAGAUGCCGCGUAUGCACCUUCUCCUCAAAAUGGAGGAGAGCGGCCAUAAUCAAAUGAUGGGGGCCAAAAUAGUAGCCCUAAGAGAUAAGGAAUAAUGCCUCCAUAAUGGCCCCUCGUCUCUGCACUUUAUGCUGAAGAGGAAAAAGAUUGGAGCGAAGCACCACAUCAACUAGGAGCAUCUCUAGGGGAAGCUCUCUCCUCAAAAUGGUCCUCUGGGAAGAUGUCCCUCGAGAUAGGAUACGAACCAUGUCCCACUCAGAAAGUGGGGCCCAGCGUUUAAAUGUAGCGGGAUCUGCUGGUGCAAAAGGGAUAUGGAAGGCAUCGGCAAUCUGUCUAGCCCCCAAAAUACCUUGGCGUCCAUCAAUGGUAAAAAGGAUCAAGGCUGGUACCGGGACGCCACGAGUAGCCAUAGACUGGUAAAAGUCUAAAGCUACUCGAGGAUAAAAAAACUGGGGUAGACUCAUAAAGGGUAUAAGAUGGUACCUCUCAAGUAGGCGGUAUGAAUCCCGCAACUCAGGCUGCUGUCGCAUAAGAGAGUGAUCGAAAUAUGCCUCGACAUGAAAGUCUCUCGAUCGGCAAUCGGAGUUGCCCUCAAUGGGCAAGCUGGGUCUAGGGCGCCUGGCGGAAGAAGGCUGAGACUGUGAAUCCCGAGGUGCUCUAGAGGACUCUCCUGGCUCUGAAGUCUUGGCUUUCUUUGUAGGAGGACUCCAAGGUGGAAUUUGUGGAGGGGCCACAGACGUGGCAGAUGCUCUCCUCUUAUGGUAUCUGCUCUGAGGGACAGAAUCAAGUAAAUGUGAGGGUGCAUCUAGUGGGGCCCGCACAGGGGCGGCUCUCUGACUGCUCUGGGGAGCUGUGGUAGAUCCUCCUCGGGUCUUAGGCAUGAUGAAGCGAUGAAAUGAGGCUUAAAGGUUUGGGAUUAUGGAAGGUAGGGAUGGAAAAGUUGAAAUUUUCGCACCAGGGGGGGGGUGCGAAAUUUUCGCAUAGGGUACUAUUCACCCGCACGUUUGAAGAAUUGUGGCUUGUUUGAGAUGGUGAAAAUUGGUGGCCUUUGAGGGUGGGAAAAGCUGGCUUAGGUAUGAAAAAGAUUUGUCAUGGUGAAUAGGCUUGGAAAUUGGAGCUUUUCAAGAGGAAAAUUGAAGAUUUGGAGCUCCCAUGGUCGGCGGCAAUGGGUUUCUUAUGAAGAAACCAUGGCUUGAAUGCUUAUGGUUUAGGCUUUGGUUUGGUAAGAACAAAGUUUGGGAUUGGAUUGUGGAUGGAUUUAGAGGGUUGGGUGAAGAUUUGAAAGGAUUUUGAUGGUGGAAGGAGGUGAAAUUGCCGAAAAUGGGAAGUGGUGAAUAGUGAAUGUGCGGCUAUGGAAUGGAGCUAUGGAGAUGGGCUGCCAUGGUGGUGUUGAUGAUGAGGAAUGAUGAAGAAGAGGGGCUUUAUGGAUGGAAAUGGGUGAUCGGAAGAGAGGUUUUGAGAGAAUUGAAGAAGAAGCUAAGACUUUGAAGUGGAGAACAUAGCUUUUAAAGAGAAAAAUGAAUUUCGCAUAGGGGAAAAUGGUGUGCGAAAUUUUCGCAUACCUGUGAUUCUCCAAGACAGAGAGCAUGGUUUUGAAAAUUGGAUCAAAAAACGAAUUCGCACAAGGUUCGCACAAGGUUCGCAUUCCUGUGAAAUUCGCACAAGGGACCGAGAGCAUGCAAUUUUUGAAAAGUGGUGCAAAAGCAAAUUCGCACAGGGUAAGUGGUGUGCGAAAUUUUCGCACACCACAAGGAGGUGUGCGAAUUUUGCUGAGUCUUGUCUUUUCUCCCCUGUUUUCCCUUGUUUUCACCAAGACUUCAUUCUUCAAGCCUUCCUACCUACAUGUUAACACAAACCACAUUAGAAUGAAAUUAAAGUCAAAAAUAGAAAUCAAAACAUGCAUAAACACAAGAAAACAUUAGAUUAAACUAAAAUCAACUUAAAAGAGAACAAAAAGAGGGUGAACUUUUUAGUCUUUGGAGAGACUAAGUUCAACCAUGAACCAAGUGUUUUCAUGUUGGAGGUGGAUCAAGGAGGAUGAAUUCCUCCUUGUCUCGGGAAAAAGAUUCGAUAUAAGGCUUGAGACGAUGCCCAUUAACUUUGAAAGUUCGAGUGCUAUUGAAGUUGAGUAGUUCCACUACUCCAUUUGGUUGCACUUCAUGAAUUAUGAAAGGACCCGUCCAUCUUGAUUUCAAUUUUCUCGGAAAAAGAUGAAGCUUAGAGUCAUAAAGCAAGACUCUUUGCCCCUUGGCAAAAUUCUUCUGAUUUACCAAUUGAUCAUGCCAUUUCUUCAACCUCUCCUUUGCAAUUUUUGAAUUGAGGUAAGCAUCAUUCCUCAUUUCCUCCAAUUCAUUCAAAUCCAAACAUCUUUUCAACCCGGCUCUUGUCAAAUCCAUGUUGAGUUUUUUUAUUGCCCACCAUGCUUUGUAUUUAAUCUCCACUGGAAGAUGGCACGCUUUGCCAUAAACAAGGCGAUAAGGAGACAUUCCAAGAAUGGUCUUGUAAGCGGUCUUAUACGCCCAUAAGGAAUCUAGGAGCUUAAUAGACCAAUCCUUCCUAUUCACAUUCACCACCUUCAUUAAUAUAUUCUUGAUCUCCCGGUUGGCUAACUCAACUUGGCCACUUGUUUGAGGGUGAUAAGGUGUAACCUUGUGCUUAACCCCAUAUUUGGCUAGAAGAGUCUCAAAAGGUUUAUUGCAAAAGUGGGUUCCUCCAUCACUUAUAAUGGCCUUAGGCACUCCAAAUCUUGCAAAGAUGUUAUCCUUGAGGAAUUUAAGAACCACCCUAUGAUCAUUGCUCCUACAUGGGAUUGCUUCAACCCACUUAGAGACAUAAUCCACUCCCACCAAAAUGUAGGAAUGUCCAAAUGACAUUGGAAAUGGUCCCAUGAAGUCUAUCCCCCAAACAUCAAAGACAUCCACUAUCAAAAUGGGGUUCAAGGGCAUCAUAUUUCGGCGUGUAAGCUUACCAAGCCUUUGACACCGAUCACAUCCCUUGCACAUAGAGUGGGCAUCCUUGAAAAGAGAGGGCCACCAAAACCCUGAUUGGAUCACUUUCAUAGCUGUUUUCUAGGAGGCAAAAUGACCUCCACAUGCACUAUCAUGGCAAUGGGAAAGAAUUCCUGAUUGCUCUUGUUCAGGAACACAUUUCCUUAUGAUUUGAUCCGCACAAUAUUUGAAGAGAAAAGGUUCCUCCCAAUAAUAGGCAUGGAUCUUAGCAAAGAAAUGCCUCUUGUCUUGGGCACUCCACUCGCUUGGAACUUCCCCAGUAACCAAGUAAUUUGCAAUGUGAGAAUACCAAGGAGCUACAUCUAUUGAAAUGAGAGACUCCUCAGGGAAGUCAUCAUUGAUAGGCAGACCAUGUGAGUCAUGUGCUAUCACAAGUCUUGACAAAUGGUCAGCUACCACAUUUUCUACUCCCUUUUUAUCCCGGAUUUGGAGAUUGAAUUCUUGGAGCAAAAGGAUCCAUCUUAUCAAUCUUGCCUUGGCAUCUUGCUUAGUUAGCAAGUACUUCAAAGCGGAAUGGUCAGUGAACCCCACUAUAGAGGACCCUACUAAAUAGGCACGAAACUUAUCCAAGGCAAAAACUACUGCCAACAACUCCUUCUCAGUAGUUGUGUAGUUCCUUUGAGCCUCGUUCAAAGUUUUGCUCGCGUAAUAAAUCACAUAAGGCUUUCCAUCCUCUCUUUGCCCCAAAACAGCCCCCAUAGCAAGAUCACUUGCAUCACACAUUACCUCAAAAGGUAAUUUCCAAUUUGGGGCUCUCACUAUUGGUGCAGUUGUGAGGAAUUGCUUCAAUUCCUCAAAACUCUUCUGACACUUCUCAUCCCACACAAACUUGGCAUCCUUUACCAAGAGUUCACAAAGAGGCUUUGAGAUUUUUGAGAAAUCCUUAAUGAACCUCCUAUAGAACCCGGCAUGUCCUAGGAAUUGUCUAAUUCCUUUAACAUUUGUGGGAGGUGGCAACUUAACAAUUAGCUCCACCUUUGCCUUAUCUACCUCAAUGCCAUUUUUGGAGAUUACAUGUCCUAAGACAAUGCCUUGUUGUACCAUAAAAUGGCACUUCUCCCAAUUUAGCACUAGGUCUUUCUCAAUACAUCUGUGGAGAACAGCUUCUAAGUGCAACAAACACUCCUCAAAAGAACUUCCAUAUACAGUGAUGUCAUCUAUGAAGACUUCCAUGAUGCAUUCCACCAUAUCACUGAAGAUGCUUAGCAUACAUCUUUGGAAAGUUUCAGGAGCAUUACAUAAACCAAAGGGCAUUCUCCUAUACACAAAAGUACCAAAGGGGCAUGUGAAGGUUGUUUUUUCUUGAUCUUCCAAAUCAAUCUCUAUUUGGAAGUACCCCGAGUAACCAUCUAGAAAACAGUAGAAAGGAUGUCCUGAGACUCUCUCAAGGACUUGGUCCAUGAAAGGCAAUGGGAAAUGGUCCUUCCUAGUCACUAAAUUCAACCUCUUGUAGUCUAUACACACCCUCCAUCCUGAGGUAGGACGUGUAGAGACUUCCUCCCCUUUCUCAUUUUGGAUCACAGUGAUUCCAGAUUUCUUUGGAACUACUAGGGUGGGGCUCACCCACAAGCUAUCUGAAAUGGGAUAUAUGAUCCCUGCUUGUAGUAGCUUCAGAACUUCACCCCUCACCACCUCUUGCAUGUGAGGAUUCAACCUCCUCUGGGGCUGCCUCACUGGUUUUGCAUCUUCCUCCAUGUAGAUAUGGUGGGUGCACACCAAAGGACUAAUCCCUUUCAGAUCAGAAAUUUGCCAUCCAAUGGCUUUCUUGCAUUUUUUGAGGACUCCCAAAAGACUAUCCUCUUGAUCACUUGUGAGAUUUGAAGAGACCACCACUGGACAUUUCUCAUCUUCCUCCAAGUAUGCAUACUUCAAAUUAACAGGAAGUGGCUUCAAAACAAGCUUUGGAGGGUCCUUCAUAGCUGCUCCGGAGGGUCCUCCAUAGCUGCUCCUUGUGAGUCCUCCUUAUUGAACAGUGGUAAGAUCUCUUCCCGUCUCCUCCAAGGAGACAUGAUAGCUAGCACAUCAGAGGGUUCAGGUAACCCUUCUUCAAACACUUCAAGGCUUUCAUUCAAGCUCUCUUCUAAGCUCUUGUUACAAUGCUCUUCAACCAAGGUGUUGAUCAGGCACACCUCCUCCAAUCCUUCAUCCUCAUCUGGGUGAAGAUGCCUCUUGCAAAGAUGGAAUAUGUUUAAUUCCAAGGUCAUAUUUCCAAAUGUGAGUUGCAUCACCCCAUUUCUACAAUUGAUGAUGGCAUUGGAGGUAGCCAGGAAAGGUCUCCCAAGGAUGAUUGGCACGUAAUUGGCUUCCUUAACAGUGGGAUCAGUAUCAAGCACAACAAAAUCCACGGGAUUGUAGAAUUUGUCCACUUGAACUAGAACAUCCUCUAUCACCCCCCUUGGGAUUUUGACAGACCUAUCAGCUAAGGAGAGAGUGAUGGCUGUGGGCUUCAAUCCUCCAAGUCCCAGUUGCUUGUACACAGAGUAUGGGAGCAAAUUCACACUUGCCCCCAAGUCUAGUAAAGCUUUCUCCACAAGUGUCCCUCCAAUGUUGACUGCAAUGGUGGGGCAACCCGAAUCUUUAUACUUAACUGGAGACUUACUCUGAAUGAUAGCACUUACUUGCUCAGUGAGGAAUGCAUUCUUUGUCACAUGUAGCCCUCUCUUAACCGUGCACAAGUCCUUUAGAAACUUUGCAUAUGUGGGGACUUGCUUGAUCAUAUCAAGUAAGGGUAUAUUCACCUUCACUUGUCUCAAGACUUCAAGAAUUUCUGAUGAAUUCUUGAUUUCCUUCUUUCCAUGUAAAGCUUGAGGAAAAGGGGGAGGCAUAUGUUUCUUCAUCAUAUCUUCUUUAAUNNNNNNNNNNNNNNNNNNNNNNNNNNNNNNNNNNNNNNNNNNNNNNNNNNNNNNNNNNNNNNNNNNNNNNNNNNNNNNNNNNNNNNNNNNNNNNNNNNNNGACCUCCCUCAACUUUGAAGAAUCCCCCUCUUGGGUUUCAACUUCAUGAACACCCUUAGGAUUUUGGCUUGGUUGAGAGGGGAACUUUCCUUUCUCAUUCACUGUGUUGAGGUUGGUAAGCCUAGAGAUGGAAUAUUGAAUAUUAUCUAUCUUCUGAUAUAGAUCAUUUUGCAUCCCAUCCAUUCUCUUAUUUAGAGAACUCUCAACAUUCUCAAUCUUUUGGUGCAAUUGGGAGUUGAUUGCCCUUUGUUCACCCACAAAUUCGAUACUCGCUAGAAUUCUACCUUUACCCGGUAGUCGCCUGGAUUAUAUUAUUUUCCCUUACUCACACUGAUUCUACCAUUUUUCGAUACUCGCUUGAGAAGUUUUUCAUUACUCGCACGAAUUAUACCCUUCCCUGGUACUCGCCCGGAUUCGACCAUUUUCCGGUACUCAAACUGAUUUUACCAUUUUUCGGUACUCGUUCGAACAGUUAUUCGAUACUUGCAUGGAUUCUACCUUUACCCGGUAGUCGUCGGGAUUCUAUUAUUUUCCAGUCCUCACACUGAUUCUACCAUUUUUCGAUACUCGCCUGGAAAGUUUGUCGUUACUCGCACGGAUUAUACCCUUUUGUCGGUACUCUCCCGGAUUCGACCAUUUUCCGGUAAUCACACUCAUUCUACCAUUUUUCGGUACUCGUUCGAAUAGUUUUUCGAUACUCGCUUGAAUUCUACCUUUACCCGGUAGUCGCCCCGAUUCUAUUAUUUUUCGGUACUCACACUGAUUCUACCAUUUUUUGAUACUCGCUUGGGAAGUUUUUCGUUACUCGCACGGAUUAUACCCUUCCCUGGUACUCUCCCGGAUUCGACCAUUUUCCGGUACUCAAACUGAUUCUACCAUUCUUCGAUACUCGUUCGGACAGUUAUUCGAUACUCGCACGGAUUCUACCUUUACCCGGUAGUCGCCGGGAUUCCAUUAUUUUCCGGUCCUCACACUGAUUCUACCAUUUUUCGAU